GGCAACUUGCCCCAAAAGGGGGUGUUACUUUUGAAAGAUCUCAUCACAACAGUCAUUGCACCAAUUUUUGUUGGGCUAGUCAUUGAACUAGUUUCUCAUUGGUUAGACGAGAAAGAUAAUGACUAACAAGUUGCCACUAACCACACCUUUGUUUUUGUAGCUGCAACAAAAACAA
rnacentral:ncRNA from 1 species